rnacentral:rRNA from 1 species
GGGUUGUGAGGUUAAGCGACUAAGCGUACACGGUGGAUGCCCUGGCAGUCAGAGGCGAUGAAGGGCGUGCUAAUCUGCGAUAAGCGCCGGUAAGGUGAUAUGAACCGUUAUAACCGGCGAUUUCCGAAUGGGGAAACCCAGUGUGAUUCGUCACACUAUCAUUAACUGAAUCCAUAGGUUAAUGAGGCGAACCGGGGGAACUGAAACAUCUAAGUACCCCGAGGAAAAGAAAUCAACCGAGAUUCCCCCAGUAGCGGCGAGCGAACGGGGAGGAGCCCAGAGCCUGAAUCAGCAUGUGUGUUAGUGGAAGCGUCUGGAAAGGCGCGCGAUACAGGGUGACAGCCCCGUACACAAAAGCGCAUGUGCUGUGAGCUCGAUGAGUAGGGCGGGACACGUGGUAUCCUGUCUGAAUAUGGGGGGACCAUCCUCCAAGGCUAAAUACUCCUGACUGACCGAUAGUGAACCAGUACCGUGAGGGAAAGGCGAAAAGAACCCCGGCGAGGGGAGUGAAAAAGAACCUGAAACCGUGUACGUACAAGCAGUGGGAGCACCCUUCGGGGUGUGACUGCGUACCUUUUGUAUAAUGGGUCAGCGACUUAUAUUCUGUAGCAAGGUUAACCGUAUAGGGGAGCCGGAGGGAAACCGAGUCUUA